GGAAAUAAAUGUAUGGUGUUCAUACCAGUCAGUCUGAUUACUCUUAGCAUUACGAUUGCCAUUCUAAUUGUAGGUUGUUGUUUUAAUGUUUGUCACAGCUUUCCUGACAUUUGAGAUCCCACUUACUAGUUUAUCAGAGACAAAGCUGUAUGAUGGGUCUGGAACUGAAGUUGAUGGGGAUGUGUUUGAGGAGGUGGUGACACGGCCAGAUUUAGGUGUUUUCAAGCUCACACUGAACAAUGAUGCUAAAGUUAUGUGCUGGUUAUCAAGUCGUGGUUAUUUGUGGCAUCACUUUCAAUAUAACCAUACAUUUGACAUGUCUGUGUUGUUAUUGUGUAUUUCAGAAUCUUCCCUGGUGAGUCCUGUCUCUGCCAGUUCUGUGAUGGGUGGUUCAGACCAUGAGUCGGAUGAUACAAUUAUUUUGAGCGAGGAUGGAAGCCCCUCACGAAAGCAUCAAAGAUCUGAUGACGAAGCAAAAAAAGGUAAGUUGGUAAUUCAUUCUUCAAUUCUUCUUGCCACCAAAUUGAUUUGUCACUGCUGUUUUUUUGUGUUUUUUUUUUUACAUACUGAAGAAAAAAACCUGGUGGAGGUUGUCAUCAAGGAAUACUCCAAAGCUAAAAGCCUGACUGACUGCACCAGACGAAAGAUGAUCAACAUUCUGGUUUCGGCGAUGACAGAGACUCAUGGGACAUCAACACCACGCAGUGUGAGAGAAACGUUUGCACAAGGCAUCGUCUCCUUGUUCCCAUAACCUGAAGGAUCCCUACAACACAAAUGGAUAUAUUGAACAUAAUUUUGUGCUGCUGUUUGGAGAGGGAAUAUCAGCCAGGUCUUUGGAGUGGUGGCCAACUACAUUCAAGCAAAAUAUCAUCAUGCUAAGCAAGACCCUAAGCAAGACCCCUGAUUGAGCUGAACUUCAGGAGCUGAUCCAGAUGGAAGAAUCUGCAGUUAAUGAGGGAGCUGACACAAAUGCUGACGGAUGGGACGGUGACCUUUCCUCCAUCCUUCUCCUGCUCCAUUUGAUUCCUUCAUCACAAGGCUGCAAAAGACCAGGCAAGAUGUCCGCAUCCCAAGCUGAACAGCAUCUUGUGAUAUUCUAAAAGGCAGGAACCAGUAUCCAGGAGCAUCUUUAUGCGAUUGACCAGAGCCGCCAACCAUAUCUUCUUGCAGUCAGGACCAGGAGGAGCAGCAUCCAUGCUUACUUCAUCAUCCUGGACAAACGGGACUUGCCGUGCAAGUCAAAGAGGGCUCUUGGUGCCUUUGAUGAGCUUUUCAAGACUCACUUUGUUUUUGGUACUGCAAUGUUGUGCAACAUGUACACCUUCAUACAGACAACUGUGUACAUCAUAGACAUUGGUGAGGUUAAGGAGACUCCAAGGGUUGCUGAGCUCAGAGCUAGACUCCUGCACUAAUGCCGAUUAAGUUAUGAUGAUAUGUUUUGUUUGCCAAGCUAGUCAUGGAAGUACCAACUUGCUCGUGAGGCAUCUCAAGUUGAUGCAUGGAAUGUUCCCUGGUAGAACUCUUAGACUAAAAUGUGGUCAAGCAGAUUGUUGUGUAUAUGGUACAUUUUCAGGCUUUAGGAAGCAUUUGAACAGGGCACAUUCCGGAGACUGUCAAAUUUUGUUAAACGCUAAGUUGGAUGCUAAUACAGACAGUUGAUAAUCAGCCAAGAAAUGCUGAUUUUCCUUCAAAUUCUAGUUGUAAUCAUGUUACACAAUAUCUAACAAGAACACACUUGAUAUGUGUGCAUCUGCUAUUGCACAACUGCUGGCUGGCUGCAAGUGUAGGUCAGACGACUUUAAAUAGUUGUGUAUCUUCCAUGGAAGAAGCAGAUACAGGGUCAAGCUAAAGUGACCGCUCGUCCUUGUAUAUCUUCAAAGACACAGAAACUGUCACAAAUCCAACAUUCUUUUCAGGAUAUUGAAAAUCAUUUCACAUUGUUGGUAUACAUUAACUGUUUGGUUUUGUGGAAUCAUUUUGUGCUCGUUAUUGUUGCCGUUUUUGCCUCACUGAAAAAGUAGACUUUCAAACUGUUCUUUGAGGAUGACCCAAGAGUGACUUUACGAACAAAACACGCACUCAGACCAUUGUCAAACUAUUCAGUCAAACCCAACACUACCUCAUAUGUACGCUGUGAAGCAUACUUGCUUAUUGAACUCUGCAGUACUUCAAUACUACAGACUAUUUUUCUGUUGAUAUAAUGCAUGACAUUUUAGAAGGAGUUGCACAAUGAGGUAAAACUUGUUAUAGUAUUUACAAGCCAACUUUGACUGCUAAAGAUGUGUACGGUAGAGUUCCUUCAUAUAGCUAUGGCUACACAGAGAGGAGGAAUCGUCCACCUGCACUCAAAUUGGAUCAUGGGAGCAAUGAUUUGGGUCUAAAUGCUAUUCAGUCUUGGUGUCUUCGUAAUUUGACAUUGAUAUUUGGUGAUCUUGUACAGAAAGAUGAUAAAUACUGGCUAACUCUGUUACUACUACUAUUGUGUUUUCUCCUAUACUAACAGAGGGCAUGACCAUCUAUCUGAAGCACUUAAUUGCUGAACAUCAUAGGCUUUUCAAUUAUUUGUUUCCUGAUAGAAAUCUGUUACCGAAACACCACUUCAUGAUACAUUAUCCUUGUUGUAUAAGGAAUAUUGGGCCCAUUCUUCCCUCAUGGUGUAAAUGUGCUACGAAGCAAAAACAAUUUCUUUAAAAAGCAACUGAAGAGUUUUAAGAAUGUCACUAUGAACUUAGCCAAGAAACACAAAUGACAUGGCAUAUAACUGAGAAACCUUCAGCCAGGAUGGACAAGCUAUCAGCCAGGAUGGACUAGCUAUAGGUCCAGGAUGGACUAGCUAUAGGUCCAGGAUGGACUAGCUAUAGGUCCAGGAUGGACUAGCUAUAGGUCCAGGAUGGACUAGCUAUAGGUCCAGGAUGGACUAGCUAUAGGUCCAGGAAGGAUGUCAAGGCUCAAUGACCUGAAAGAAGGCCAUGAGAUGCUGCCAAGUUGAAUGUCUCAGUGCACACAAAUGUUUUGUCAGUUAAAUGGGUAAAGCACCAUGGUACAGAAUAUCGCCUUGAUUUGGCCAUAUGUGGUGAAGUAGUCAUUGAAAUGCAGGUAUUUUACUAAAUGAAGGCUAUUGUUUUGAAAGAGAAAUGUUUUGUUGUUUGGGUCAGGUCUUGAAACCUUAUGUUUUGAUCAUUUGCAUGCAUUUAAAGUUGUUUUGAAGCAAAGUCCACCAUGCAAGGUAUUUCAUGUACCACAAACCUUUUGAUUUCCUCAUGUCAUAUGGAGCAAAGGAUUUUUUUUGACUACAUUGUCCCCUACUGUCACUUGAUAACAGUUUAAGCCAGGUCUGAGACUUAUGGUUUGGUUGUGAGAAACAAAUUUGUUUUAAUGUGAAAGUCAGUAUUUUCCAACAAACCUUUUGAUUUGCUCAUGUCAUAUGGAGCAAGGGAUUCUUUUGACUACAUUCUACUGUCACUUGAUAACAGUGUAAGGCAGGGCUGAGACUUGUGGUUUGGUCAUAAUAAACAUAUUUGAAUGUUGAAACAGCUUUGCUUGAGCUUUGCUCCUCACCGG